GGUUAACAUGCCUCUAGUGGCUCUUACGAAGACUGCCGCUAGAAGUGCCUCCACAGCUUUGACUUUAGUGGAAAUGAUUCACGUUGAGAGCAUUUGAUUGGUACAGCAUCAUGUAUGGCCGAGCAUGCGCACUAGGAUUCCAAUGCUUCCCUCGGCCAAAGAGGCACAGCUGUGGGAUGUACUUACCUUUUAAACCACUGUGGGUGGGGUGGACAACUGGAUAAUCAG